UCGGGUUGUAAAGCACUUUUGUCCGGAAAGAAAACCUCUGGGUGAAUACCCCGGGGGGAUGACGGUACCGGAAGAAUAAGCACCGGCUAACUACGUGCCAGCAGCGCGGUAAUCGUAGGGUGCGAGCGUUAAUCGGAAUUACUGGGCGUAAAGCGUGCGCAGGCGGUGAUGUAAGACCGAUGUGAAAUCCCCGGGUUUAACCUGGGAACUGCAUUGGUGACUGCAUCGCCCGAGUAUGGCAGAGGGGGGUAGAAUUCCACGUGUAGCAGUGAAAUGCGUAGAGAUGUGGAGGAAUACCGAUGGCGAAGGCAGCCCCCUGGGUCAAUACUGACGCUCAUGCACGAAAGCGUGGGGAGCAAACAGGAUUAGAUACCCUGGUAGUCCACGCCCUAAACGAUGUCAACUGGUUGUCGGGCCUUCAUUGGCUUGGUAACGUAGCUAACGCGUGAAGUUGACCGCCUGGGGAGUACGGUCGCAAGAUUAAAACUCAAAGGAAUUGACGGGGACCCGCACAAGCGGUGGAUGAAUGUGGAUUAAUUCGAUGCAACGCGAAAAACCUUACCUACCCUUGACAUGUAUGGAAUCCUGCCG
rnacentral:rRNA from 1 species